rfam:Rhizophagus irregularis DAOM 197198w jcf7180003191487, whole genome shotgun sequence.
GCCUCCAUGGCGCAACCGGCUAGCGCGUUCGGCUGUUAUCCUACUGACACCGAAAGGUUCCUAGUUCGAAUCUAGGUGGGGGCG